rnacentral:lncRNA from 1 species
AUUGAUUUUCGGAUAGAUCCAUGAUAGGAUCAUUGGAAAACUGUGAAGAGCAUUCCCAAGUAUUUUAAAAGUAUUGAAAAAAUAGUGAAUUGGAAGAGUUCCAAAUGGCAAACUAUGUUUGACUUAGAUAUUUGCUAUUAGUGAAGAUUGCUAAGAAAAAUCAUCUGAUGAAAGAGUUCAUCAUUGAGCUAGAUGUGGACUCAUCAGGAACCCACAC